rnacentral:tRNA from 1 species
ACCCUGCUAGCUCAAUUGGCAGAGCGUGAGACUCUUAUUUGCAUUGGAUGUAUGGAAUGUAGAUGGUUAUCUCAAGGUUGGGGGUUCGAGACCCCCGUGGGGUG